ensembl:snRNA U6 U6 spliceosomal RNA
GUGCUUGUUUCGGCAGCACAUAUACUAAAAUUGGAACAAUACAGAGAAGAUUGGCAUGGCCCCUGCAGAAGAAUGACACACAAGUUUGUGAAGUGUUCCAUAUUUUU